rnacentral:rRNA from 1 species
GAGUUUGAUCCUGGCUCAGGACGAACGCUGGCGGCGUGCUUAACACAUGCAAGUUGAACGAAGCAAUUUUAGAAGUUUACUUUUGAGAUUGACUUAGUAGCGGACGGGUGAGUAACGCGUGAGUAACCUACCUUUGUGAGGGGGACAACAGCUGGAAACGGCUGCUAAUACCGCAUAAGGCCACAGUAUCGAGUGAUACAGUGGUAAAAGAUUUAUCACACAAAGAUGGACUCGCGUCCCAUUAGCUAGUUGGUAAGGUAACGGCUUACCAAGGCGACGAUGGGUAGCCGACCUGAGAGGGUGAUCGGCCACACUGGAACUGAGACACGGUCCAGACUCCUACGGGAGGCAGCAGUGGGGAAUAUUGGACAAUGGGCGAAAGCCUGACCCAGCAACGCCGCGUGAGGGAAGAAUGUCUUCGGAUUGUAAACCUCUGUCCUUGGGGACGAAAAAAAUGACGGUACCCAAGGAGGAAGCUCCGGCUAACUACGUGCCAGCAGCCGCGGUAAUACGUAGGGAGCAAGCGUUGUCCGGAAUUAUUGGGCGUAAAGGGUGCGUAGGCGGCUAUAUAAGUCAGAUGUGAAAGACCCAGGCUUAACUUGGGAGGUGCAUUUGAAACUAUAUGGCUUGAGUAAAGAAGAGGUAAGUGGAAUUCCUAGUGUAGCGGUGAAAUGCGUAGAUAUUAGGAGGAACACCAGUGGCGAANGCGACUUACUGGUCUUUUACUGACGCUGANGCACNAAAGCGUGGGGAGCAAACAGGAUUAGAUACCCUGGUAG